UUUACAGCUUCCCAUGAUUGUGGGUAUGCAGCAGUUCCUGGAAGUCUCUAUACUAGGCCCUGCGCUUUAAGUAUUUUCCCCACUUCGUUCAUGGGGAUGUUCUCAUCUCAGUGCACAGAGGGUUACACGUGGAAAUCCCUCACACCAAGAGGACAACAUACCCCUUACUAUGACAGACAUCUGAACUGACACUUUUGUUGGCAAUCUCAGCAUACCGGCCAAGGGCUGUAUGGACAUGAAGACUCAACUACCUUCUCAUGCCUAGAGUUGACUUACUUCUUGGAGGCUACACAGAAGAAAUGGGUUUUCAGAAGAGAUCUGGAACAAGAGAGGGUGGUUGAUUGAUGAAGUAGG